rnacentral:rRNA from 1 species
CCUACGGGAGGCAGCAGUAAGGAAUAUUGGUCAAUGGACGAAGUCUGAACCAGCCAUGCCGCGUGAAGGAUUAAGGCCCUCUGGGUUGUAAACUUCUUUUAUCUGGGACGAAAAAAGGGUAUUCUUACUCACUUGACGGUACCAGAGGAAUAAGCACCGGCUAACUCCGUGCCAGCAGCCGCGGUAAUACGGAGGGUGCAAGCGUUAUCCGGAUUUACUGGGUUUAAAGGGUGCGUAGGUGGGCUUGUAAGUCAGUGGUGAAAUCUCCGGGCUUAACCCGGAAACUGCCAUUGAUACUAUAGGUCUUGAAUUAUCUGGAGGUAAGCGGAAUAUGUCAUGUAGCGGUGAAAUGCUUAGAUAUGACAUAGAACACCAAUUGCGAAGGCAGCUUACUACGGAUAUAUUGACACUGAGGCACGAAAGCGUGGGGAUCAAACAGGAUUAGAUACCCUGGUAGUCCACGCCCUAAACGAUGGAUACUCGACAUCAGCGAUACACUGUUGGUGUCUGAGCGAAAGCAUUAAGUAUCCCACCUGGGAAGUACGAUCGCAAGAUUGAAACUCAAAUGAAAUUGACGGCUGAGAGAGCGAGACGACGACGAGGGAGGAGG